rnacentral:rRNA from 1 species
AUUGAACGCUGGCGGCAUGCUUUACACAUGCAAGUCGAACGGCAGCUCGGGCUUCGGCCUGGCGGCGAGUGGCGAACGGGUGAGUAAUGCAUCGGAACGUGCCCAGUAGUGGGGGAUAGCCCGGCGAAAGCCGGAUUAAUACCGCAUACGACCUGAGGGUGAAAGCGGGGGACCGAAAGGCCUCGCGCUAUUGGAGCGGCCGAUGUCGGAUUAGCUAGUUGGUGGGGUAAAGGCUUACCAAGGCGACGAUCCGUAGCUGGUCUGAGAGGACGACCAGCCACACUGGGACUGAGACACGGCCCAGACUCCUACGGGAGGCAGCAGUGGGGAAUUUUGGACAAUGGGGGCAACCCUGAUCCAGCCAUGCCGCGUGCGGGAAGAAGGCCUUCGGGUUGUAAACCGCUUUUGUUCGGGAAGAAAUCCUCUGGGCUAAUACCCCGGGGGGAUGACGGUACCGGAAGAAUAAGCACCGGCUAACUACGUG